rnacentral:rRNA from 1 species
CAAUAGCGUAUAUUAAAGUUGUUGCAGUUAAAAAGCUCGUAGUUGGAUUUCUGGUGGGAGCGAUCGGUCUGGCGCUUAGCGCGAGUACUUGCAUCGUCUCCGGCCAUCCUUGGGGAGAGUCUGCCUGGCAUUAGGUUGUCGGGCAGAGGAUCCUCAUCGUUUACUGUGAAAAAAUUAGAGUGUUCAAAGCAGGCUUAUGCCGUUGAAUAUAUUAGCAUGGAAUAAUAAGAUGGGACUUUGGUACUAUUUUGUUGGUUUGCGCACCAAAGUAAUGAUUAAUAGGGACAGUUGGGGGUAUUCGUAUUCCGUUGUCAGAGGUGAAAUUCUUGGAUUUACGGAAGACGAACUACUGCGAAAGCAUUUACCAAGGAUGUUUUCAUUAA